rnacentral:rRNA from 1 species
UACGAAGGGGGCUAGCGUUGCUCGGAAUCACUGGGCGUAAAGGGCGCGUAGGCGGACAGUUAAGUUGGGGGUGAAAGCCCGGGGCUCAACCUCGGAAUUGCCUUCAAUACUGGCUGUCUUGAGUGCGAGAGAGGUGUGUGGAACUCCGAGUGUAGAGGUGAAAUUCGUAGAUAUUCGGAAGAACACCAGUGGCGAAGGCGACACACUGGCUCACUACUGACGCUGAGGCGCGAAAGCGUGGGGAGCAAACAGG